rnacentral:rRNA from 1 species
UGGGGAAUAUUGGACAAUGGGCGCAAGCCUGAUCCAGCCAUACCGCGUGGGUGAAGAAGGCCUUCGGGUUGUAAAGCCCUUUUGUUGGGAAAGAAAUCCAGCCGGCUAAUACCUGGUUGGGAUGACGGUACCCAAAGAAUAAGCACCGGCUAACUUCGUGCCAGCAGCCGCGGUAAUACGAAGGGUGCAAGCGUUACUCGGAAUUACUGGGCGUAAAGCGUGCGUAGGUGGUUGUUUAAGUCUGUUGUGAAAGCCCUGGGCUCAACCUGGGAACUGCAGUGGAAACUGGA